rnacentral:rRNA from 1 species
UGGGGAAUCUUGGACAAUGGGCGCAAGCCUGAUCCAGCCAUGCCGCGUGAGUGAAGAAGGCCUUCGGGUUGUAAAGCUCUUUUACCAGGGACGAUAAUGACGGUACCUGGAGAAUAAGCCCCGGCAAACUUCGUGCCAGCAGCCGCGGUAAUACGAAGGGGGCUAGCGUUGUUCGGAAUUACUGGGCGUAAAGCGCACGUAGGCGGAUUGUUAAGUCAGAGGUGAAAUCCCGGAGCUCAACUUCGGAACUGCCUUUGAUACUGGCAAUCUAGAGUCCGGAAGAGGUUAGUGGAAUUCCCAGUGUAGAGGUGAAAUUCGUAGAUAUUGGGAAGAACACCAAGUGGCGAAGGCGGCUAACUGGUCCGGUACUGACGCUGAGGUGCGAAAGCGUGGGGAGCAAACAGGAUUAGAUACCCCAGUAGUCCCUGAGCGGGCUGGCAAGGCGCAU